rnacentral:SRP_RNA from 1 species
UCGCGCUAGACGGGGAGGUAGCGGUGCCCUGUACCCGCAAUCCGCUAUAGCGGGGUCGAAUUCCCCACCGAGGGGGUGCGUUCUCGGGUCUGCUCCGACGGCAUCGGCGCUGACGGCCGGGUCCUGCGCAACCCGGGCCCGUGAACCCCGUCAGGUCCGGAAGGAAGCAGCGGUAAGCGGUCCCCCGGGGGUGCCGCAGUCAACCUGGCCCGAGCUGGGCCGUCGGGUGAGCGCCGGCGACACGCCUUCGACGUGGGGUGCGCGA